AUGGCUCUGGGCUGCACCAUCCUCAUCUGGACACUGGCCUGCUGCUGCUUCACAGGAUGCAGUGGUCAGGUCACAGUCACUCAGCCUCCAGUCCAGACGUUUACUCCAGGAUCCACAGUCACUCUCACAUGUCAAACUAACAGAGAUGUUUAUAGAAAUAAUCGCAUGCACUGGUAUCAGCAGAAACCUGGUCAGUCUCCAAAGCUCUGGAUAAAACUUGCUACACAACGUCUGUCAGAAACUCCAUCUCGGUUCAGUGGCAGUGGGAGCGGCAGAGACUUCUCUUUGACCAUCACUGGAGCUCAGGCUGAAGAUGCAGCAGUUUAUCACUUGAUUUAUGGUCGUACAAAAACCUCCCUCAGUGAGUCCUUCAGAGUGAGACCAGAGCAGGAAACAACUGCAGCUGCUCAAGAGGAACAGACUCACAUCAUAGUAGAGCAGUGA